GGGGAAAAUUGUAGGUAUUAUGAAAUGACUUUUUUUUUUUUCUUCCCAGUGAUUGCUGUGUUGUGCGCACUCAACAAAAAUGGGGCAAGAAUGUAAGAAGGCUGAUCCAGGAGGGCCAACCUCUUCUGCUUUCUCAUCGACUGAAUCCCCCAGUGACAGCUUCAGAAAGCCUCUCUAGAAGACUUUUCCCAGUGUCAUAAGAAGCAAUGUGACUCACAAUUGUACAACUUUGUGUAGUAUUGCGUCCGUUGGCCCUAGAAGGAAGGUAAGUGGCACUGAUCCUGUGGUCUAUCAAAAUUGGCAGUAUCUGGACUGUGAAUGAGAAGUAUGACCAUGUCAGUUCUUUCUUGAUGGUAAAAGAUUUUGAUACCACUCAUAGACAUCAUAGUUGUCAUUGCAAGAAAGUCCCAAGUACCAGUGUAGAGUUGUUUUUUUUUUUUUAAAGAUUUUAUUUAUUCAUGAGAGACACAGAGAGAGGCAGAGACACAGGCAGAGGGAGAAGCAGGCUCCCUGCAGGGAGGCUGAUGGGGAACUCGAUU
rnacentral:lncRNA from 12 species